rnacentral:rRNA from 1 species
CCUACGGGAGGCAGCAGUGGGGGAUAUUGCACAAUGGGGGAAACCCUGAUGCAGCGACGCCGCGUGUGGGAAGACGGUCCUCUGGAUUGUAAACCACUGUCCCCAGGGACGAAGAUGCCGGUACCUGGUGAGGCCGCUCCGGCUAACUACGUGCCAGCAGCCGCGGUAAUACGGAGGGAGCGAGCGUUGUCCGGAAUUACUGGGUGUAAAGGGAGCGUAGGCGGGACUGCAAGUUGGGUGUCAAAUCUACCGGCUCAACCGGUAGCCGCACUCAAAACUGCAGGUCUUGAGUGAAGUAGAGGAAGGCGGAAUUCCUAGUGUAGCGGUGAAAUGCGUAGAUAUUAGGAGGAACACCAGUGGCGAAGGCGGCCUGCUGGGCUUUGACUGACGCUGAGGCUCGAAAGUGUGGGGAGCAAACAGGAUUAGAUACCCCUGUAGUC